GUUGCCCAGGCUGGUCUCCAAUGCCUGAGCUCAGGCGAUCCUACAACCUCAGCCUCCCAAAGUGCUGGGAUUACAGGCAUGAGCCACCACGUCCAGCCUAAACUGAUUUUUAUGUUGUGAACUUAGAAUAUCCAACCAACAGUAAAGAUUACCUAGUGCUUUCUAACAUGAGAUUCUCCUAUUUGUUCAUCCUAGGAUCGUGCUCCUCUGUGGAGCAAGUGCCUCUAUGAAAAGCCACAUUUUGUGAAGAAAGUGCAUGCAGGAAUAUUCAGGAGUCCAGCGUGUAGUCAUGGCAGCCUUAGGUAUUUGAGAACGACCAACCCUCCUGCUGAAGACAACCAUAACUCAUGCAGGCAUGAGUCUAAGCGCAUCAAGACUGGAUGGUUCCUAUGACUGUAUUCUCUACUAAGAACUUGGGGUGUGAUGCCCAAAAGUGUGUGAACCGGUCUGUGACCACAAAGAUGAGAACCGCAUGCUGAGAUUGGUGGAAUGGAGACUUCAGUGAAUCUACAUGCAGAUGACACGGUGACACCAGUGCCCAGCCUGAGCUGUUUUCUUCUGGCUGUCUUAUUACAUGAGAAAAAUAAACCCCUAUGCACCUUGGC